AGAGGUCCUUCCGGGAGUCCAGCUGACACAGGUCUCGGCCAGGGCUCUACCUGCGCUCAGGAUUGGAAAAGCUGUGCGCAAUGAGAGGCGCGUUGGUUCUCCGCAACGGGGAGCAGAAACCGGCCUGGGUCAGCCAGUGGACUGGUUGGAAGCAGAGAACUGAAAGAAAACCAACACCCUAGUGAGGCCAAGGGAGAUUUUAAAGGCUGAAGCAGAAGGAUCUCAAGUUCAAGCCAGAUUCCUUAGGGAGCAUUUGCCUCCAUAAAAUAACCCUAACUGUUGUCAAGUGACAGUGAACUCCAGUGACCAUCAGACAAGGAAGUUUUCCAGUUUCAUGAAGUCCCAUUUAUCAAUUCUUGAUCUUAGAGCCUGAGCCAUUGGAGUUCUGAUCAGGAAAUGUUCCCUUGUGCCAAGGAGUUCAAGGCUCUUUCCCACCUUUUCUUCUAUUGGAUUCAGUGUAUCUGGUUUUGUGUUGAGGUCCUUGAUCCACUUGUGUUGGGAGCCGCGCCCACAUUCGCCGUUACAAGAUGGCGCUGACAUCCUGUGUUCUAAGUGGUAAACAAAUAAUCUGCGCAUGUGCCAAGGGUUUUUAUGACUACUUGUGCUCUGCCUUCCCCGUGACGUCAACUCGGCCGAUGGGCUGCAGCCAAUCAGGGAGUGACACGUCCUAGGCGAAAUAUAACUCUCCUAAAAAAGGGACGGGGUUUCGUUUUCUCUCUCUCUUGCUUCUUGCACUCCUGCUCCUGAAGAUGUAAGCAAUAAAGUUUUGCCGCAGAAGA
rnacentral:lncRNA from 1 species